UUUCGAGUUUUAUAAGCGGUAGCGGAACGUUCUGUAAGCCUGUGAAGGGAUACCCGUGAGGGAUCCUGGAGGUAUCAGAAGUGCGAAUGCUGACAUAAGUAACGAUAAAAGAAGUGAAAAACUUCUUCGCCGAAAAUCCAAGGGUUUCUGCGCAAGGUUAAUCCGCGCAGAGUUAGUCGGCACCUAAGGCGAGGGCGAAAGCCGUAGUCGAUGGAAAUAAGGUUAAUAUUCCUUAACCAGAUGGUAGUGACGGAUCUUGUAAGUUGUGUACUCUUAAUGGAUUGAGUAUGCCGCGAAAAGGUUCCAAGAAAUAGCUCCAUCAUUAGACCGUACCCUAAACCGACACAGGUGGAUUAAUAGAGUAUAUUUAGGCGCUUGAGAGAAUGAUGUUGAAGGAACUCGGCAAAAUGCUUCCGUAACUUCGGGAUAAGGAAGACCUGUUUUUAGGCAACUAGAGAUGGGUGGCACAAGCCAGGGAGAAGCGACUGUUUAUCAAAAACACAGGGCUCUGCUAACACGUAAGUGGAUGUAUAGGGUCUGACGCCUGCCCGGUGCUGGAAGGUUAAUGCGGUUGGUGCAAGCUAACUUCUGAAGCCCCAGUAAACGGCGGCCGUAACUAUAACGGUCCUAAGGUAGCGAAAUUCCUUGUCGGGUAAGUUCCGACCUGCAUGAAUGGCGUAACGAUUUCUCCGCUGUCUCCAACAUCAACUCAGUGAAAUUGAAUUCUCCGUGAAGAUGCGGAGUUCGCGUAGUUAGACGGAAAGACCCCGUGCACCUUUACUGCAACUUUACAUUGGUAUUAGGAAAAACAUAUUUAGUAUAGGAGGGAGACAUUGAAGCAAAGGCGUCAGCUUUUGUGGAGUCAUCAGUGAAAUACCUCUUUUGUUUUUCUUGGUAUCUAACUGAUUGCCGUCAUCCGGCAUCAAGACAUUGUAUGGGUGGGUAGUUUGACUGGGGCGGUCGCCUCCCAAAUAGUAACGGGAGGCGUGCGAAGGUAGGCUCAGAACGGUCAGAAAUCGUUCGUAGAGUGCAAUGGCAUAAGCCUGCCUGACUGUGAGACUGACAAGUCGAGCAGAGACGAAAGUCGGUCAUAGUGAUCCGGUGGUUCUGAGUGGAAGGGCCAUCGCUCAACGGAUAAAAGGUACGCCGGGGAUAACAGGCUGAUACUGCCCAAGAGCUCAUAUCGACGGCAGUGUUUGGCACCUCGAUGUCGGC
rnacentral:rRNA from 1 species